CUGCCUGCUCCGUGAGCGAAGGACAUCGAGAUCACGCAACAGAUCAGACUGAUGACUCCUGAAAAUUGAACGAAGAGAAAACGUCGAGGAAAAUUGAAGCGAAGAUCGACCGACGGUGGAAAAAUUCACACUGACCGCGAACAUAGAGGUGAAACAGUUCGUCAAACUGACCAUUAUCGCAUCGCGGUAACAGUUAUUGUUAACGGGGUUGUACGAUGAAAAAGCUAUCAGUCCACCGAACG